AUAUCAAAGAGCUGUAAGUGUUG
rnacentral:miRNA from 1 species